rnacentral:snRNA from 1 species
GAAGUUAAGGUGGUAUUCUCAGGGCGAGGCCUAACCAUUGCACUACAGGAGGGAGGUUGAGCCUUGCGAUUUCCCCAAAUGUGGGAAAGUUGACCAUGAAAUUUGUAGGAUGC